GUGGGGAAUAUUGGGCAAUGGGCGAAAGCCUGACCCAGCAACGCCGCGUGAAGGAAGAAGGUUUUCGGAUCGUAAACUUCUAUCCUUGGUGAAGAUAAUGACGGUAGCCAAGAAGGAAGCCCCGGCUAACUACGUGCCAGCAGCCGCGGUAAUACGUAGGGGGCAAGCGUUGUCCGGAAUGAAUGGGCGUAAAGGGCGCGUAGGCGGCCCGGUAAGUCUGAAGUGAAAGUCCUGCUUUUAAGGUGGGAAUUGCUUUGGAUACUGUCGGGCUUGAGUGCAGGAGAGGUAAGCGGAAUUCCCGGUGUAGCGGUGAAAUGCGUAGAGAUCGGGAGGAACACCAGUGGCGAAGGCGGCUUACUGGACUGUAACUGACGCUGAGGCGCGAAAGUGUGGGGAGCAAACAGGAUUAGAAACCCUUGUAGUCC
rnacentral:rRNA from 1 species